UCGGACAAGCACCGGGGCAGAACAGUGGUCGGGCGAGCCAAAUCUCCUGUCCGCUUCAUCUUGUCUUCUCCAUAAACUUGACCAUAUACUCCAGCAGUACUCCAUGACAUUUGAAAUCAAGAUCAAAAACUGAUGGCAUGGGUGCACUAAUCAACAAAAUAGUCAUAGCAACAUUACUACUGCUUAGACUGGUGAUAUAUACAUGCAUGAAACAGAUCAAGCAACCAUUACUACUGCUAAGACUGCUGCUUGAACUGAAUUUUGAACUGCUACUUAGACUAGAGGACUAAAAUAUGGUUCCAGCAGUGUUACUACUCCAGACAGUGCAUCAAGCAGUGUGUUGUGACAACACAUUAUGACACAUUUCCAGCAGCAACAAAUCAGCAGCAACAGAACUUAUGGGCUUGCAUAAAUCAGCAGCAACAACAACAUAUGGGCUUGCAUAAAUCAGCAGCAACAAGAACUUAUGGGCUUGCAUAAAUCAGCACCAUCAACAACACAUUUUGAAGAGAGAUCUCACCAGCACCAGCAACCAUUGAUGGACUUGCAGGAGCAGGGGAAGAAAUUGUUGCUUGAAUCAACUAAUUUUGCUUGAACCAAUUAAUCUUCAGUUAACUGCUCCAGACAUAAAUCACCUUCUUGCUUCACCAGACAUAGAUCACCUACUGAAUUUAGUCAAUAACUAAAUUUGUCACUAACUGAAUCAGUUAUCUUCAGUUAACUACUCCACCAGACAGAAAUUUUGUCAGCUCACUUGCUUGCUUCACCAGACAGAAAUCAGCAGAUUGAAGUCGGACCUGUGCUGCCGUUGGCGAGCGAGCAGCAGAAGCAGAAGCAGCGGCGCCGGUGGAGCGAAGAGGGCAAACAAGCACGGGGUAGGCAAGACGAGCACGGGCCAGUGGCAUGUGGCUGGAGCACGGGGCAGUCCUCCAUCAUUAGUCCGCCAGCUCGAGGAGGGGAAUGCCAGCCGCCAGUGACGGCCUGCAUCUGCCUUUUGUGUAGGUAAUUUAUUUUGCACUCUAGUUGCAAGCUUGUUCAAA
rnacentral:lncRNA from 1 species